UGGGGAAUAUUGCACAAUCGGCGCAAGCCUGAUGCAGCCAUGCCGCGUGUAUGAAGAAGGCCUUCGGGUUGUAAAGUACUUUCAGCGGGGAGGAAGGGAGUAAAGCUAAUACCUUUGCUCAUUGACGUUACCCGCAGAAGAAGCACCGGCUAACUCCGUGCCAGCAGCCGCGGUAAUACGGAGGGUGCAAGCGUUAAUCGGAAUUACUGGGCGUAAAGCGCACGCAGGCGGUUUGUUAAGUCAGAUGUGAAAUCCCCGGGCUCAACCUGGGAACUGCAUCUGAUACUGGCAAGCUUGAGUCUCGUAGAGGGGGGUAGAAUUCCAGGUGUAGCGGUGAAAUGCGUAGAGAUCUGGGGGAAUACCGGUAGCGGAGACGGCCCCCUGGACGAAGACUGACGCUAAGGUGCGAAAGCGUGGGGAGCAAACAGG
rnacentral:rRNA from 1 species